CUUAUUACAACGAUUUGUGUGGACCCUUAUGCAUGUUCAUUAGCGCAUGUGCAAUUAUCCACUUAUAUAGCGUUCUUCUAUAAUAUAUUUAAGGGCAAAUAUAAAAAGACCUCCCUCUCCAAUUUUUUAAAUUUUAAACUUUUUUUUUAUAUUUUGACAUAAAAUAUAAAAUAUAAACCUCCCGCGUCCUGGUAGUUUUUAAAAUUUAGCGAUGAGAAUCAGGGAAUUUAUUUUAUAUGGUCUAAUAUUACAUUUCCUACAUAAACUCUAAUCAAACAUAUUUUCACCCCAGGAAAUUGCGAAUUUACGUAAUUACAUAGUGUCUGUCUAAAUGAUUUGGAGAAAAACGAACUAACUCGCCUCAUAGCUAACUCGUUAUAAAUACUGUAUAUAUAAGUACAUUAUUUUUCGCGCGAUAAAAAUUAUAACUGAGUCUAAAAUCUAUACAGUUUGACAAAACUUCUAAAUGUAGGUUUUACAAAGUACUAUCGUGGAGUAGAUGAUGGUCAACCUGCAGUUAUCAGAGCGAGAAAAUAAUGUUCAUUCUUUUCAUUAGAUGGAGUAAUCUUGUAUUUGUUGGCAAAUAAAUAAAAUCGAAAGAUGUAGUUUAAUUUGCUUUGCUCCUAAAGUUUUUUUUGCUCUUGAGGUCACCACCAUCUACGCCGACUAAGCCUAAAAAUUCGCCAUAAAAAUAUAUCUUUCUGAAACGCCCAACACGCCUUGAAUUCUCGCCCUUAUAUUCGCUCUAAUAAAACAGAGUUCUAAUAAAACUUAACGCUGUACAAUCUUACUACAGGCGUAACUGGGCGGAGGACUGGCGCUAGUGAAUGCACAUGUGCAACGACGAUUCAUCUGAACAGCG